rnacentral:rRNA from 1 species
CCGACGGUGAGGGACGAAAGCUGGGGGAGCAAACCGGAUUAGAUACCCGGGUAGUCCCAGCUGUAAACGAUGCGCGUUAGGUGUGUCAGUGACCACGUGUCACUGAUGUGCCGAAGGGAAACCGUGAAACGCGCCGCCUGGGGAGUACGGUCGCAAGGCUGAAACUUAAAGGAAUUGGCGGGGGAGCACCACAACGGGUGGAGCCUGCUGUUUAAUCGGACUCAACGCCGGAAAUCUCACCGGAUAA